CAGCACUCAGUAAGGGAUUAUCCUCUGAAUUAAUUCAUUCUUCACCCUGACCUUUCUUCACAUUACAGAACGUUCUCCUGGGCAGCCUUUUGAUCUUUGCCACGUUUGUGACUUUAUGCAAUGGAUCAUGCUAUGUAAUACGUCAUAAGUUAGCUCCAGGAGAGACAAUCAAAGAAUGCACGGAUCUCAAAGGAAACAAACACCCGCUAGACUCAAGAUGGCGGACUGAAGACUGUGAGCUAUGUGCUUGCCGUGACAUAGAAAUAUCGUGUUGCUCCCUUGUUUUGCGGGAACAGGAGUGGAUCUAUGGCAGAAGCACUGGCAUCAAGGGGCAUUUCCCAA